GGGACUACUGCAACCUAGAAUCGUGCUCUCGAGUAUCUAGAUAAAAGAGGUUCAAAAAGUUAAGUUUAAGAUUCCACCAAGUUUGAAAAGGCUAGGUUUGAGAUGAUUUCUCAAACCUCUUGAAUUUUUUGAUCUCAAAAAAAUUGAGAAAUCCAAUGAAUUUGUUGUCUAUUGCUUCCAAUGGCCCUGAUUCAAGUUUGAUGGGCCUCUUUUCCUCUUCUCGUUCUUGCCUUCUUCCCCCCUUAUCCUAAACCCACCUAUGGUUUCACCCAACUAGCCUUGGUUUAACAAUGACCGUCAUCUGCUCUUCACUCAAAACUGCUUUUGAUUCUAAGUAAAAAGUGCUUUUGGCCAUGGAAGUGGUUUUCUUAUACCAUGUGAUUGGAGAUUAAACGGUUGGAGAGCUACAAUCACAGGAGAUUUGUGUGACGGAGAAUUUGGAAAUGGCGAUUAAGGCACUUGGGGAUUGUGCAGAGUGGAAUUACGGUUUGGAUGUAGAGGAAGGGAAGGAUCCAACAUGAAGCAUCAAAGGUUUGUUGAUUGGGUAUUCAGUGCAGGUGAGGGCUUUAUUGGAUCAUGAAAGCGCUCUAGGUGGUGGUUUCUCAGAAAUGAACUAGAUUGGUGCCAGGCUGCCAGCAGAAUAAAAUCCCUCCUUUUUCUAAACGUUUCUUCAUUCUCCAUCUGAGUCGCCCACUAAAGGAUAUCCGUCUGUGCCAAGCCGGGGAGGGUUCCGGCUUGGGUUCUUGAUGUGGCAAUCUAGGACAAAAACUUAUGAUGUUUUGGUUUCGACUGGAAGUUUCAACCCUCCAACUUGCAUGCACUUGGACAUGUUUGCGAAAGGCUAACAAGAGAUACGCAAAAUGGAGCACUUAUUGCUUUCGACGUUGGUGAUUUAUUAGCAGCGCUUUCGGAUGAAGGGUCCCUCAAAGUAAUGCUUUUGUGUGGUUCUGAUCUACUCGAGUCUUUUGACAUUCCUGGAGCAUGGAUUUGUGAUCAGGUCAGAAUGAUAUGCCGAGAUUAUGGAAUUGUGUGUAUACGUAGAGAAGGAAAUGACAUUGAUAAGAUCAUUGCUGGAGAUGACAUUUUGUUUGAAAAAUAAGGGCGAUCAUAAAAAAAGGUUCUUCUGUUACAAAUUGGAUAACAGACGAAGUUAUCAAUUACAUUGAUCGGCACCAGCUCUACCGGAAUAACGAUGAAUUGAAGUCAUGAAUAGUCUUUGGUGGGAUGUUGUGUCAUAUUUGAAUAAGCUAUUGGUUAGAGUGACAGGAGAUUGGUUUGUCAUUGAAGCCAGUUUAUCUGUACUUGUCAGCUUCAAUUAACACAGACCGGCACGGUAGUUUGAUGGUCCGUAUUCAUUCAUCAUAUUGAAUGUUAAUUUGCUGUUCUGCUGA